rnacentral:tRNA from 1 species
CGGGCUGUGGCGCAGCUUGGUAGCGCACUUGACUGGGGGUUAAGGGGUUCACCCCUCCCGGACGGCCCGA